rnacentral:rRNA from 1 species
GACAGAGGGGGCAAGCGUUGCUCGGAAUCACUGGGCGUAAAGGGCGCGUAGGCGGGAUGGCAAGUCGGACGUGAAAUCCCUCGGCUCAACCGGGGAACUGCGUCCGAUACUGGUGGGCUCGAAUCCGGGAGAGGGAUGUGGAAUUCCAGGUGUAGCGGUGAAAUGCGUAGAUAUCUGGAGGAACACCGGUGGCGAAGGCGGCAUCCUGGACCGGCAUUGACGCUGAGGCGCGAAAGCCAGGGGAGCAAACGGG